AGAGUUUGAUCAUGGCUCAGGAUGAACGCUAGCGGCAGGCCUAACACAUGCAAGUCGAGGGGUAACGAUGAUUUAGCUUGCUAAAUCAGGCGACGACCGGCGCACGGGUGAGUAACGCGUAUGCAACCUACCUUUAACUGGGGAAUAGCCCGGAGAAAUUCGGAUUAAUGCCCCAUAAUGUAUACACUUCGCAUGUUGUGUAUAUUAAAGCUCCGGCGGUUAAGGAUGGGCAUGCGUGACAUUAGGUAGUUGGUAAGGUAACGGCUUACCAAGCCUACGAUGUCUAGGGGGCCUGAGAGGGUAGUCCCCCACACUGGUACUGAGACACGGACCAGACUCCUACGGGAGGCAGCAGUGAGGAAUAUUGGUCAAUGGACGCAAGUCUGAACCAGCCAUGCCGCGUGCAGGAAGACGGCUCUACGAGUUGUAAACUGCUUUUAUACGGGAAUAAACUUAGCUACGUGUAGUUAAUUGAAUGUACCGUAAGAAUCAGCACCGGCUAACUCCGUGCCAGCAGCCGCGGUAAUACGGAGGGUGCAAGCGUUAUCCGGAUUUAUUGGGUUUAAAGGGUGCGUAGGCGGAAAUGUAAGUCAGUGGUGAAAUCUUGCAGCUUAACUGUAAAACUGCCAUUGAUACUGUGUUUCUUGAGUAUAGUUGAG
rnacentral:rRNA from 1 species